rnacentral:rRNA from 1 species
AUGAACGCUGGCGGCGUGCCUAAUACAUGCAAGUCGAGCGAACGGACGAGAAGCUUGCUUCUCUGAUGUUAGCGACGGACGGGUGAGUAACACGUGGAUAACCUACCUAUAAGACUGGGAUAACUUCGGGAAACCGGAGCUAAUACCGGAUGAUAUUUUGAACCGCAUGGUUCAAAAGUGAAAGACGGUCUUGCUGUCACUUAUAGAUGGAUCCGCGCUGCAUUAGCUAGUUGGUAAGGUAAUGGCUUACCAAGGCAACGAUGCAUAGCCGACCUGAGAGGGUGAUCGGCCACACUGGAACUGAGACACGGUCCAGACUCCUACGGGAGGCAGCAGUAGGGAAUCUUCCGCAAUGGGCGAAAGCCUGACGGAGCAACGCCGCGUGAGUGAUGAAGGUCUUCGGAUCGUAAAACUCUGUUAUUAGGGAAGAACAUAUGUGUAAGUAACUGUGCACAUCUUGACGGUACCUAAUCAGAAAGCCACGGCUAACUACGUG